rnacentral:rRNA from 1 species
UACGUAGGGUGCAAGCGUUAAUCGGAAUUACUGGGCGUAAAGAGCUCGUAGGCGGCUUGGCAAGUCGGGUGUGAAACCUCCAGGCUCAACCUGGAGACGCCACUCGAUACUGCCAUGGCUAGAGUCCGGUAGGGGACCACGGGAAUUCCCUGGUGUAGCGGUGAAAUGCGGCAGAAUAUCAGGAGGAACACCGGUGGCGAAGGGCGGG